AUUGAACGCUGGCGGCAGGCCUAACACAUGCAAGUCGAACGAGUGGCGGACGGGUGAGUAAUGUCUGGGCAACUGCCCGAUGGAGGGGGAUAACUACUGGAAACGGUAGAUAAUAACGCAUACCCUCGGAUGUGCCCACAGGGGAUUAGCUAGUAGGUGGGGUCACGGCUCACCUAGGCGACGAUCCCUAGGUGGUCUGAGAGGAUGACCAGCAACACUGGAACGGAGACACGGUCCAGACUCCUACGUGAGGCAGCAGUGGGGAAGAUUGCACAAUGGGCGCAAGCCUGAUGCAGCCAUGCCGCGUGGAUGAAGAAGGCCUUCGGGUUGUAAAGUACUUGCAGCGAGGAGGCGUUACUCGCAGAAGAAGCACCGGCUAACUCCGUGCCAGCAGCCGCGGUAAUAC
rnacentral:rRNA from 1 species